UCCACAAGACAGGGGAGCACGCCACCACGUGCUGAGAGUGCGGAUCCGCCGCAGACCCUAUGAACCUGAUCCGGUUAGCACCGGCGAAGGGAGUCGGAGUUGAGACACA
rnacentral:ncRNA from 2 species